rnacentral:rRNA from 1 species
AACGAACGCUAGCGGCGUGCCUAACACAUGCAAGUCGAACGAGAAAGGGGCUUCGGCUCCGAGUAAAGUGGCGCACGGGUGAGUAACACGUAGGUAACCUGCCUCUAAGAUUGGGAUAACCUGUCGAAAGACGAGCUAAUACCGAAUUAGACCACGGCUUCCUCGGAAGCAGGGGUCAAAGGUAGCCUCUAUUUAUAAGCUAUCGCUUAGAGAUGGGCCUGCGCACCAUUAGCUAGUUGGUGGGGUAACGGCCUACCAAGGCAAAGAUGGUUAACUGGGCUGGAAGGAUGAUCAGCCACACUGGAACUGAGACACGGUCCAGACUCCUACGGGAGGCAGCAGUGGGGAAUAUUGGACAAUGGGCGCAAGCCUGAUCCAGCCAUGCCGCGUAAGUGAUGAAGGCCUUCGGGUUGUAAAGCACUUUUGUCCGGAAAGAAAUGGCUCUGGUUAAUACCUGGGGUCGAUGACGGUACCGGAAGAAUAAGGACCGGCUAACUACGUGCCAGCAGCCGCAGUAAAAC